UAGUUAUUGGUCCGUGUGAAAGGAACAGUAACAGACACGAUAUCCAGAUUAAUUUAUAGUCUUCACUAUAUGAACUGUGACAUGUGAGGUUGUUCUUUGUAAGAUUUGUAUCAUGGAUGUGGUGAGUUAUACUGCCAAUUGACAAUACUGUAAAAUGGUAAAAUGAC